rnacentral:rRNA from 1 species
GACGUAGGGCGCGAGCGUUGUCCGGAUUUAUUGGGCGUAAAGAGCUCGUAGGCGGCUCGUUGCGUCAAUCGUGAAAACCCGGGGCUUAACUUCGGGCUUGCGGUUGAUACGGGCGGGCUGGAGUUCGGUAGGGGAGACUGGAAUUCCUGGUGUAGCGGUGAAAUGCGCAGAUAUCAGGAGGAACACCUGUGGCGAAAGCGGCUCACUGGACAGUAACUGACGCUGAUGCACGAAAGCUAGGGGAGCAAACAGG